rnacentral:tRNA from 1 species
GCCGGUAUAGCUCAGUUGGUAGAGCAACGGUUUUGUAACCCGUAGGUCCCGCGUUCGAUUCGUGGUGCCGGCACCA